UACAGAGGGUGCAAGCGUUAAUCGGAAUUACUGGGCGUAAAGCGCGCGUAGGUGGUUUGUUAAGUUGAAUGUGAAAUCCCCGGGCUCAACCUGGGAACUGCAUCCAAAACUGGCAAGCUAGAGUAUGGUAGAGGGUGGUGGAAUUUCCUGUGUAGCGGUGAAAUGCGUAGAUAUAGGAAGGAACACCAGUGGCGAAGGCGACCACCUGGACUGAUACUGACACUGAGGUGCGAAAGCGUGGGGAGCAAACAGG
rnacentral:rRNA from 2 species